GUAGUCAUAUGCUUGUCUCAAAGAUUAAGCCAUGCAUGUCUAAGUAUAAGCAAAUCUAUACUGUGAAACUGCGAAUGGCUCAUUAAAUCAGUUAUCGUUUAUUUGAUAGUACCUUACUACAUGGAUACCUGUGGUAAUUCUAGAGCUAAUACAUGCUAAAAACCUCGACUUCGGAAGGGGUGUAUUUAUUAGAUAAAAAACCAAUGCCCUUCGGGGCUCCUUGGUGAUUCAUAAUAACUUAACGAAUCGCAUGGCCUUGCGCCGGCGAUGGUUCAUUCAAAUUUCUGCCCUAUCAACUUUCGAUGGUAGGAUAGUGGCCUACCAUGGUGGCAACGGGUAACGGGGAAUUAGGGUUCGAUUCCGGAGAGGGAGCCUGAGAAACGGCUACCACAUCCAAGGAAGGCAGCAGGCGCGCAAAUUACCCAAUCCCGACACGGGGAGGUAGUGACAAUAAAUACUGAUACGGGGCUCUUUUGGGUCUCGUAAUUGGAAUGAGUACAAUCUAAAUCCCUUAACGAGGAACAAUUGGAGGGCAAGUCUGGUGCCAGCAGCC
rnacentral:rRNA from 1 species